rnacentral:rRNA from 1 species
CUGGCGGCGUGCUUAACACAUGCAAGUCGAACGAUGAUCCGGUGCUUGCACCGGGGAUUAGUGGCGAACGGGUGAGUAACACGUGAGUAACCUGCCCUUAACUCUGGGAUAAGCCUGGGAAACUGGGUCUAAUACCGGAUAUGACUCCUCAUCGCAUGGUGGGGGGUGGAAAGCUUUAUUGUGGUUUUGGAUGGACUCGCGGCCUAUCAGCUUGUUGGUGAGGUAAUGGCUCACCAAGGCGACGACGGGUAGCCGGCCUGAGAGGGUGACCGGCCACACUGGGACUGAGACACGGCCCAGACUCCUACGGGAGGCAGCAGUGGGGAAUAUUGCACAAUGGGCGCAAGCCUGAUGCAGCGACGCCGCGUGAGGGAUGACGGCCUUCGGGUUGUAAACCUCUUUCAGUAGGGAAGAAGCGAAAGUGACGGUACCUGCAGAAGAAGCGCCGGCUAACUACGUGCCAGCAGCCGCGGUAAUACGUAGGGCGCAAGCGUUAUCCGGAAUUAUUGGGCGUAAAGAGCUCGUAGGCGGUUUGUCGCGUCUGCCGUGAAAGUCCGGGGCUCAACUCCGGAUCUGCGGUGGGUACGGGCAGACUAGAGUGAUGUAGGGGAGACUGGAAUUCCUGGUGUAGCGGUGAAAUGCGCAGAUAUCAGGAGGAACACCGAUGGCGAAGGCAGGUCUCUGGGCAUUAACUGACGCUGAGGAGCGAAAGCAUGGGGAGCGAACAGGAUUAGAUACCCUGGUAGUCCAUGCCGUAAACGUUGGGCACUAGGUGUGGGGGACAUUCCACGUUUUCCGCGCCGUAGCUAACGCAUUAAGUGCCCCGCCUGGGGAGUACGGCCGCAAGGCUAAAACUCAAAGGAAUUGACGGGGGCCCGCACAAGCGGCGGAGCAUGCGGAUUAAUUCGAUGCAACGCGAAGAACCUUACCAAGGCUUGACAUGGGCCGGACCGGGCUGGAAACAGUCCUUCCCCUUUGGGGCCGGUUCACAGGUGGUGCAUGGUUGUCGUCAGCUCGUGUCGUGAGAUGUUGGGUUAAGUCCCGCAACGAGCGCAACCCUCGUUCCAUGUUGCCAGCGCGUAAUGGCGGGGACUCAUGGGAGACUGCCGGGGUCAACUCGGAGGAAGGUGGGGACGACGUCAAAUCAUCAUGCCCCUUAUG